UGGGGAAUUUUGGACAAUGGGCGCAAGCCUGAUCCAGCAAUGCCGCGUGCAGGAUGAAGGCCUUCGGGUUGUAAACUGCUUUUGUACGGAGCGAAAAGGUCUGCCCUAAUACGGUGGGCUCAUGACGGUACCGUAAGAAUAAGCACCGGCUAACUACGUGCCAGCAGCCGCGGUAAUACGUAGGGUGCGAGCGUUAAUCGGAAUUACUGGGCGUAAAGCGUGCGCAGGCGGUUAUAUAAGACAGAGGUGAAAUCCCCGGGCUCAACCUGGGACCUGCAUUUGUGACUGUAUAGCUAGAGUACGGUAGAGGGGGAUGGAAUUCCGCGUGUAGCAGUGAAAUGCGUAGAUAUGCGGAGGAACACCGAUGGCGAAGGCAAUCCCCUGGACCUGUACUGACGCUCAUGCACGAGAGCGUGGGGAGCAAACA
rnacentral:rRNA from 1 species